rnacentral:rRNA from 1 species
ACUCAAAUGAAUUGACGGGGGCCCGCACAAGCGGAGGAACAUGUGGUUUAAUUCGAUGAUACGCGAGGAACCUUACCCGGGCUAGAACGCAGGGGGAAUGAUGGGGAAACUCAUCAGCCAGCAAUGGUCGCCUGCGAGGUGCUGCAUGGUUGUCGUCAGCUCGUGCCGUGAGGUGUCGGCUUAAGUGCCAUAACGAGCGCAACCCUUAUUGUUAGUUGCCAGCGGGUGAUGCCGGGGACUCUAGCAAAACUGCCGGCGUAAGCUGCGAGGAAGGUGGGGAUGACGUCAAAUCAGCACGGCCCUUACGUCCGGGGCGACACACGUGUUACAAUGGGGGGUACAGAGGGUUGCUACCAUGCGAAUGGAUGCCAAUCCCCAAAUCCUCUCUCAGUUCGGAUCGAAGUCUGCAACCCGACUUCGUGAAGCUGGAUUCGCUAGUAAUCGCGCAUCAGCCAUGGCGCGGUGAAUACGUUCCCGGGCCUUGUACACACCGCCCGU